rnacentral:SRP_RNA from 10 species
GCUGGGUGUGGUGGCACAUGCCUGUAGUCCCAACUACUGGAGAAGCUGAGGCCAGAGGAUUGUUUGAGCCCAUGAAUUCUGGGUUAUAGUGUGCUAUGCCAUUCUGGUGUCUGCCUUAAGUUCGGCAUCAAUAUGGUGUCCUCCUGGGAGCAGGGGACCACCAGUUUGUCUAAGGAGAGGUGAACUGACCCAGGUUGGAAGGAGGGCAGGUCAAAACUGCUGUGCUCAUCAACAAAGGGAUUGCACCUGUGAAUAGCCACUGCACUCCAGUGUGGCUGACAUAGUGAAGCCCUGUC